rnacentral:lncRNA from 1 species
GAAAAGUGAAGAUGAGCUGUGAACAACUCAAAGCUGGCAAAUAGUACAUACCAAAUUCUCUCUUUAACAACAUUGUCCAUUGGUAAAUUAGAAAUGGACUGAGUAGUAAUGGGGCUGUGAGAGAGUGACUGAGUUAUUGAAUCCUCCCUAUCUAAUCUAUCAACUUGCUACUACUUAAACAACAUUGGCAUUUGCAUUUUGCACCAAAACACUCAAAGCUACUGCUUCCCCCUCCUCCCCCCCNN